rnacentral:rRNA from 1 species
GACGAACGCUGGCGGCGCGCUUAACACAUGCAAGUCGAGCGGUAAGGCCCCUUCGGGAUUCCCCGAGCGGCGACCGGUGGCGUACCACGUGGGUAAUCUGCCCUUCCCUCCGGGAUAACCACGGGAACCGGGGGCUAAUACCGAAUACACCCAGUCUUCCCAUGAGGUGCUGGGGGAAAGUCUUUUCGGUGAAGGAUGUGCUCGCGGCCUAUCAGCUUGUUGGUGGGGUAAUGGCCUACCAAGGCUUCGACGGGUAGCCGGCCUGAGAGGGUGACCGGCCACACUGGGACUGAGACACGGCCCAGACUCCUACGGGAGGCAGCAGUGGGGAAUAUUGGACAAUGGGCGAAAGCCUGAUCCAGCAACGCCGCGUGAGGGAUGACGGCCUUCGGGUUGUAAACCUCUUUCAGUACCGACGAAGCGCCCUGUCGGGUGGUGACGGUAGGUACAGAAGAAGGACCGGCCAACUACGUG